GGACGAACGCUUGCUGCGUGCCUCAUACAUGCAAGUCGAGCGAGGGUUGGCUGGUCCGCAGGGACCGGUUCAACUCUCGCGGCGAACGGGUGAGUAACACUUUUGCAAUCUGCCCCACCUACGGGGACAACCUCCCGAAACCGGGGCUAAUACCCGGUACCCUCGCCGGGUGGCAUCACCUGGUGAGGAAACGUCGCAUGACGCUCUGGGAUGAGCCCGUGGCCUAUCAGCUAUUUGGUGGGGUAACGGCCUACCAAGGCGACGACCGGUAGCUGGCCUGAGAGGGUGGUCAGCCACACUGGGACUGAGACACGGCCCAGACUCCUACGGGAGGCAGCACUUGGGAAUUUUGGGCAAUGGGCGCAAGCCUGACCCCCGACGCCUCGUGGGGGAUGAAGGCCUUCGGGUCGUAAACCCCUGUCAGGAGGGAAGAAGCCCGCAUGGGUGACCGUACCUCCGGAGGAAGCCCCGGCUAACUACGUGCCAGCAGCCGCGGUAAGACUCCCGGGGCGAGCGUUGUCCGGAUUCACUGGGCGUAAAGCGCGAGUAGGUGGCCUGUUAAGUGGCGUGUGAAAGCCUGCGGCUCACCCGUAGGAGGUCUCGCCACACUGGCGCGCUUGAGGGUGGCAGACGGUGAUGGAAUUCCCCGUGUAGAGGUGAAAUGCGCAGAUAUCGGGAGGAAUCGCCAGUGGUGAAGGCGGUCACUUGGGUCAUCCCUAACGCUGAGUCGCGAUAGCCAGGGGAGCGAACGGGAUUAGAUACCCCUGUAGUCCCAGCUGUAAACGAUGCUCACUAGGUGUUGGGGGGUUACUCCCUCAGUGCCGCAGCUAACGCAUUAAGUGAGCCGCCUGGGUAGUACGGCCGCAAGGCUAAAACUCAAAGGAAUUGACGGGGGCCCGCACAAGCGGUGGAGCAUGUGGUUUAAUUCGAUGCUAAGCGAAGAACCUUACCAGGGUUUGACAUGCAGGAAGUACCGAACCGAAAGGGGAGGGACCCGUAAAGUCGGGAGCUUGCACAGGUGGUGCAUGGCUGUCGUCAGCUCGUGCUGUGAGGUGUUGGGUUAAGUCCCGCAACGAGCGCAACCCCUGUUUCUAGUUGCCAGCGGGUUAUGCCGGGCACUCUAGAGAGACUUCCGGCGACGAGCCGGAGGAAGGUGGGGAUGACGUCAAGUCCUCAUGCCCUUUAUGCCCUGGGCUACACACAUGCUACAAUGGCCACGACAAUGGGUUGUUACCUCGCAAGGGGAUGCCAAUCCCAUAAACGUGGUCUCAGUUCGGAUCGCAGGUUGCAACUCGCCUGCGUGAAGCCGGAAUCGUUAGUAACCGCAGGUCAGCAGCAAUGCGGUGAAUACGUUCCCGGCCCU
rnacentral:rRNA from 1 species